AUGGCUGGGGACAUCCGUGGGGACAUCCCUGGUGGACAUCACUGGGGACACCCCGGGGGACACCCCUGGGGACAUCCUUGGGGACAUCCAUGGGGACAUCCAUGGGGACAUCCAUGGGGACAUCCAUGGGGACACGGGGACAUCCUUGGGGACAUCCUUGGGGACAUGGGGACAUCCUUGGGGACAUCCCUGGGGACAUCACUGGGGACAUCCAUGGGGACAUCCAUGGGGACAUGGGGACAUCCAUGGGGACAUCCAUGGGGACAUCCUUGGGGACAUCCCUGGGGACAUCCCUGGGGACAUCCAUGGGGACAUCCAUGGGGACACGGGGACAUCACUGGGGACAUCCAUGGGGACAUCCAUAGGGACAUCCAUGGGGACACGGGGACACGGCUGGGGACACGGGGACAUCCAUGGGGACAUCCAUGGGGACAUGGGGACAUCCAUGGGGACACGGGGACAUGGGGACAUCCAUGGGGACAUCCUUGGGGACGUCCAUGGGGACAUCCAUGGGGACAUCCAUGGGGACAUCCAUGGGGACAUCCUUGGGGACAUCCAUGGGGACAUCCAUGGGGACAGGGGGACACGGCUGGGGACACGGGGACAUCCUUGGGGACAUCCAUGGGGACAUCCUUGGGGACACGGGGACAUCCUUGGGGACAUCCAUGGGGACAUGCCUGGGGACAUCCUUGGGGACAUCCAUGGGGACAUCCAUGGGGAUAUCCAUGGGGACGUCCUUGGGGACAUCCUUGGGGACAUCCAUGGGGACACCCCUGGGGACAUCCUUGGGGACAUCCAUGGGGACAUCCAUGGGGACAUCCAUGGGGACGUCCUUGGGGACAUCCAUGGGGACAUCCAUGGGGACACCCCUGGGGACAUCCUUGGGGACAUCCAUGGGGACAUGGGGACAACCCUGGGGACAUCCAUGGGGACAUGGCUGGGGACACGGGGACAUCCAUGGGGACACCCCUGGGGACAUCCAUGGGGACACCCCUGGGGACUUCCAUGGGGACAUCCAUGGGGACACCCCUGGGGACAGGGGGACAUCCCUGGGGACACCCCUGGGGACUUCCAUGGGGACAUCCAUGGGGACAUCCUUGGGGACACAGGGACAUCCUUGGGGACAUCCAUGGGGACAUCCCUGGGGACAUCCUUGGCGACACGGGGACAUCCAUGGGGACACCCCUGGGGACACGGGGACACGGCUGGGGACACGGGGACAUCCUUGGGGACAUCCAUGGGGACAUCUCUUGGGACACCCAUGGGCACAUCCAUGGGGACACCCCUGGGGACACGGGGACAGGGACAGGCACAGGGACACCCCCCCAGGGACACGGACAUGGCCUGGGGACAGUGACACCCGAGACAUGGCCUGGGGACAUCCCCUGGGGACAUGGGGACAGUAUGGGGACAGGGCCACCCCAG
rnacentral:lncRNA from 1 species